rnacentral:rRNA from 1 species
GACGUAGGGCGCGAGCGUUGUCCGGAUUUAUUGGGCGUAAAGAGCUCGUAGGCGGCUUGUCGCGUCGACUGUGAAAACCCGCGGCUCAACUGCGGGCCUGCAGCCGAUACGGGCAGGCUAGAGUUCGGUAGGGGAGACUGGAAUUCCUGGUGUAGCGGUGGAAUGCGCAGAUAUCAGGAGGAACACCGAUGGCGAAGGCAGGUCUCUGGGCCACUACUGACGCUGAGAAGCGAAAGCAUGGGGAGCGAACCGG